rnacentral:rRNA from 1 species
UACAGAGGUCCCGAGCGUUGUUCGGAUUCACUGGGCGUAAAGGGUGCGCAGGUGGGUUGGCAAGUUUGAUGUGAAAGCCCCGGGCUUAACCCGGGAAUGGCAUUGAAUACUGCUGAUCUGGAGGAUCGGAGGGGGGACUGGAAUUCUUGGUGUAGCAGUGAAAUGCGUAGAUAUCAAGAGGAACACCAGUGGCGAAGGCGAGUCCCUGGACGAUACCUGACACUGAGGCACGAAAGCCAAGGGAGCAAACAGG